AGUUUUAUAUGUUUUGAAUAAGGUUGAAGUUUUGAAAAAAGAUUAUUAUUUUGUUAAUUUUUUCUUCCGUUGGUGGGUAGCAAAUGCGUUAAUUGAUUGACCCCAAGUCUCUGUUUGAAAGCUUAUUCGUGUUGAAGUUGAUAGACCCGACUUGGUUAGUCGGCUAAAGUUCUCUGUUCCAAGUAGAUUCACUAGAAACUACAUACCCUAGAAAUUACAUACUACAUAAAUUGCAUAACCCUUACAGAGUAUUAAGUUUUGACUAUACUAGAAUUUAUCAUAUUAUCUGUAAUGUCUGCCGUUCUUAAAACAAUCAAUUCAAACUUUUUUGUUAAUCUUAUUAAUAUUUACACUGCGUUACAUAUGGCAGACGGCGAAGCUGAAUACUGUUUCCUUAGCAAGAAAGUUUGAAGACGCAUGCAUCGAGAAUAGGACGGUUCUCUUUCGAUGCUCAUAUUAAUGACAUUUGAUUCGGGAAUGAGGCCCAAUGCUGAUUGUUGAAAUUCUGGUUUAGUAUAGAGAGGUAAUCCUAGAGGAAGACAAGUUUGAUCCGAAAGUAGGCCGAAAAUGACGGCAAAGCCAAUGACGCGUGUUACUGGGAGUUUUUUGUUGCCGCCUUCAUGAGAGUGGACUGUCAAGUCAGAGAGCUGCUUAUCCUUAUGGUUGCAUCGACUUACUAUAGCUGAUGUCCAAAAGUCAUUAUUAAUCUCAUCUCAUCUCAGGAACUCUUGGUUGACAUUAACGUUAACCGUGCUUGAAGACAGCUAACUGAAGGCGAUUAAAUACUUAUCUAGCUCAUAGUCUAUCACCUACGAAAUUUGUUAUUCCUUGGUACAGUUGGUAGUUAUUUCUUCUAGCAAUAAAUCUUCUAAACGCUACAUCUAAGGUUAAUUAACUUGCCAUAUUUUAAGUGUAUGGAUAUUUGGCUGUACAAAGGAAUACUUAAAAAAUAUUCUUUAUAUGUCGUUGUUCCGUUAUUCUUUAAUCAUUUACCGUAUGUAGAUGAAGCAUUUGCACAGAAAUUUGUAUUUUCCCUUCCACACAAAGUUUCCAAAAUCGGAAUUCACUACAAUAUCCUAUUAUUUGUUCUAAUUUAUUUUAAUUUCCUUGUAGAGAGAGAGCAUAUAUGUACAAUAGAUAUCAAACAGAAGUUUGCAACAUAGUGAAAGGGACAUUUGCGACUAUAUGAUCAGUUCAUUAGCCGAGUCAAUAGUGCCAUACCCGUUUCUCCGUUCCGUCCAUUUUAAUGCUAACUACUUAAACUUUCCCAAACGUCUUCUCACUGUUGCAGGUAUAAAGUCGUACCGAAUUGGGUACGGAUGGCCAUAAAGGAGCAUUCGUAGUUUUUUUUUUAUCUUAGUUUGACUUAAAAAAUAUGUUAUUAGUCCAAAGAUAUAUAUGUUUCAGCUUCCGGAAGCAAGCUUAUUUUCUCGCUUUGUUUUAAGUUUUUAUUCAAAGCGUCUACAAAUCCUUAAUACCCAACCAUUCUUGGACCUAAUCCAUCUUGGGACUCAUGGAGAACAUCUACGGAGUCUGCCUUAGUUUUUAGGUCUUCCAUAGCGAUAUCAUUUCUUCUUAUUUUACUUGCAUAUUUGUUUUGUAUUUAGCAGCUAAAUCUACCAAAACGCAAGUAAACAAAAAUUGUGCAGAUGAAGUCACAUAUUUGUUACAUUAGUAGUUGGGGAUAGUAAAUAUUUAUUUAUUUAUUAUAAUAGAUAGAAUAGUUUACAAAACUAGACUAACUUAGAUAGUAUAGCAUUGGCUACGGGGCUUACAGCUAUUUUGAUUUACAAUGUUAGUAUAUCUUAAUUUAGUUAAUAUAUAAUUUGCUAACUAGUUGCUGUCUUGUUAUGUACAAUUGCCUGUUUUGUUUUUAGAUGUUGUGGUAUAAUUUGGUUUUUUUAAGGAAAUGUAUGAGUUUUUGUAUGUUAUCUGGAUUGGGUUUGCUAAGAAGGUCUAGAGGGUUGGUGUUGUUAAAUAUGUCUGGUUUGGCUUGUAGGAAGGCUGGGCAUGAGUUCAAUAUGUGGCUUAUUGAAAUAUCACCUUGGCAAAACGGACAAGUGGGUAUUGAAUUGGGAUUUAGGUAGUGUUGGUGGGUUAUGUUUGUGUGUCCUAGUCGAAGUCGUAUUAUUUCAUCAAUAUCACCUUGGCAAAACGGACAAGUGGGUAUUGAAUUGGGAUUUAGGUAGUGUUGGUGGGUUAUGUUUGUGUGUCCUAGUCGAAGUCGUAUUAUUUUUAUUUGGUCGAGUCUGUUCCAAUUUGGGUGAGAUUGUUUGAGGUAAUCGCAUGUGUGUGAGGUGUUCGUAUUAAUAGAUUGGUACCAUGGACUGCAGUUUAUUAUGUUUUCUUUCUUUUUUGUCGCAAGGUCGGCUUUAAGCUGUUUUUUUUAUAUCUGUGCUAUUUAUGUUUGAGGUGAGGAUAAGUGGCAUAUUGCUUGCUGAUUUUGCAGCUUGAUCGGCUAGUUCAUUUCCUUUUAUUCCUGAAUGGCCAGGAAUCCACAUUAUUUUAAUUUUAGGUGCAUGAUGCGUUAUUAGCGAUCGUAUUCUGAUGGGGUAAAAGUUGUUAUUAUUUGUGUUUUGAGAUAAUAAAUUUACCUUUUCGGUUUUUAAUUAGUUCUAUUGCUUCUAGGAUGGCGAUUGUUUCGGAGAUGGAUGGACGGAUGAAUAUGGAGGCAUAUGCCGUAUUUCAAGACGUCCGUUUCCGUUGUAAUGGCGAAUGUUAUUGUGUAAUUAAUUUUUGAACCGUCAGUGAAUAUGAAAUUGUGUGUUUUGAGGUUA